UAUAGAUUUUGUUUUCUGGGAAACCUGCCGCCAAAUAAUCCAGCGAUAAGACUUUAAGAAACACAUCUGUGGUAUAUAUAGUAAUCAUACCUUGUGUGUUGUGACGUGACAUUGUCUGCGACGAUACAGCAACUGACAACAAUGUGACUACUUCAUCAGACGGCGCAGUAUAAUAACAACGGCUCGACUUCAGACAUUCAGCUUCGACUAAAAAACUCAGAAAUCCCCAGUUGACUGCCGACAGGAUCAGCUGUACCGGUGACCGAGAAUACUGACAGAACUUAGACAAGAUCGCCUGUACCGGUGACCGAGUAUAUUGACAGUAACUUGAACACAGAUACUAACCGACCAUGCAGAUAAUGGUCCAGGCGGGAACGGACGGCAAGACGCAGCUUGUUGAUGCGGAACCGUCUGAGUCUAUGGCGUCCUUAUUCCAGAAGAUCUCGGAUCAACGUGGAGUCGAGAAACAGUACCUACAAAUCGUGUACGCCGGUAAAACAUUUCGACCCGGCGACGCAAGAACCGACCACAAAACAAUUGCCGACCUUGGCAUGAAGGACCGGUCGCUCGUUCAACUCGUCACCAGGCUACCGGGGGGUCAAUAGGUCUUCUGAUGUCACUGUACGAUGACAGGAUGUGACUUGGAACCUUUUUACAUGUGUAAUGGGUUAACAAGCUUGUGUGACGUAACGUAAUACUUACGUCAUAGGACAUCAACGUGGGAAGUGAACUUUUAUGAGAAGAGACUGAAAUGUGAUAUGUUGUUCAGUUAAGCUAAACUGCAUGCUGGCUAAUGCAAUAUACUUGGUAGUUAAGCUGAAAUUAAACGUAUGUUUUUAUGCAGUGAUACUUACCCGAGUCUUAUCAUUGCGCUGUGUAAACUAUGGACUAAAUGUCACCCUUGUUGCUUUUACUACAAAAAAAUAUAAAUGAAACAGAAACAAAAGAAAGCGAAAACAUGGCGAUAUUUGAAACAUUUCCUAUUGAAUAAAAGCGGUCUGAUUCGUAUUGCUAGGUGUGUGAAUCGUAUGUUGUUCAUAUAUUGCCGAGUGAGUUAGUAUGCACAUGAAGGUUGUGCAAUACACGUAUUGACCACAGGGACCUAAGAAUUUGUUAAAGCUAUAUUUGGAACUAAACUAAAGUGUAAUUUUACAUGUCUUCGGGGUUUAGAUCGACUUUCGGAAAAAAUGCCACCCCAAUGCCCGUAUAUUUAAGCAUUGUGGUGGCAUGUUUACCGAAAGUUGACAUAAACCCCUAAAACAUGUAAAAUUACUCUAAACAUCUUAGUUUAGGUCCAACUAUAGCUGUAACAAAUUCUCAGUUCCCUGUGGUAUCGCUGUGUACAUUACUUUGUGUGUUGGGCGGAGAAACCGGAUGCAGUGAGAGUUGAGUGAAACUGGCAUGAAACAAUGUGUAUUACUGUUUGGUAUAGUGAGACCGCAGUACGGCUGAUCUACUGUGUAAAGACUAGUGUGACACAAUGUGUAUUACUGUUUGGUAUAGUGAGACCGCAGUACGGCUGCUCUACUGUGUAAGGACUAGUGUGAAACGAUGUGUAUUACUGUUUGGUAUAGUGCGACCUCCGUACGGCUGAUCUACUGUGUAAGGACUGGUAUGAAACAAUGUGUAUUACUGUUUGGAAUAGGGAGAACGCAGUACGGCUGAUCUACUGUGUAAAGACUAGUGUGAAACAAUGUGUAUUACUGUUUUGUAUAGUGAGACCGCAGUACGGCUGAUCUACUGUGUAAAGACUAGUGUGAAACAAUGUGUAUUACUGUUUUGUAUAGUGAGACCGCAGUACGGCUGCUCUACUGUGUAAGGACUAGUGUGAAACAAUGUGUAUUACUGUUUGGAGACUGUAUUAUAGUGAGACCUCAUUACGGCUGAUCUACUGUGUAAGGACUAGUUUGAUUCAGAGAUUUAUUAUGUAAGUUUGGUGUUUUAAUGUUUUAGCUGUUCCUAAUAAAAACGUUAUUUAAUCUC